rnacentral:rRNA from 1 species
GUCGAGGAUCUUCGGCAAUGGGCGCAAGCCUGACCGAGCGACGCCGCGUGUGCGAUGAAGGCCUUCGGGUUGUAAAGCACUGUCGAGGGGGAGGAAGCUCCGCAAGGGGUUGACCUAUCCCUGGAGGAAGCACGGGCUAAGUUCGUGCCAGCAGCCGCGGUAAGACGAACCGUGCGAACGUUGUUCGGAAUCACUGGGCUUAAAGGGCGCGUAGGCGGGCUAUAAAGUCAGUGGUGAAAUCUUUCAGCUCAACUGGAAAAGUGCCGCUGAUACUGAUAGUCUCGAGGGAGGUAGGGGUCGAUGGAACUAAUGGUGGAGCGGUGAAAUGCGUAGAUAUCAUUAGGAACGCCGGUGGCGAAAGCGAUCGACUGGACCUCUUCUGACGCUGAGGCGCGAAAGCCAGGGGAGCAAACGGGAUUAGAAACCCGUGUAGUCC